rnacentral:rRNA from 1 species
UACGAAGGGGGCUAGCGUUGUUCGGAAUCACUGGGCGUAAAGCGCACGUAGGCGGAUCUUUAAGUCAGAGGUGAAAUCCCAAGGCUCAACCUUGGAACUGCCUUUGAUACUGGGGAUCUUGAGUCCGGGAGAGGUGAAGUGGAACUGCGAGUGUAGAGGUGAAAUUCGUAGAUAAUUCGCAAGAACACCGGUGGCGAAGGCGGCCAACUGGACCAUUACUGACGCUGGAGGCGACGAAAGCGUGGGGAGCAAACAGG